ensembl:lncRNA
GAUGAAUGCAGUAUCUGCACUGGGGCUGGGUAUGAGUGGAUGGAGCACAGGACCGCCGGUCAUUUACACGGCUUGUCCAUUGGCAAGUGCUGCUGAGCCGAGGCAAAUCAUCCUGGACUGAGGGUGAGUAAUGACAAUUAGCCUACCUAGGUUAAAGAAGAAGCCCUGUAGCAUAAGGGAGAGGUGAGUGUAUCUGGCAGACUCAGAGGAAGAGCAGAACUUUGAAAAAUAAUCCACAGUAGCAUCCAGGGGAAAAAUGCUAUUCUCAAAGGACUGCAUGAAGAAAAAAUGUAUUUAAAAGGACAAGACCGCGUAGUGUCUGUUCCUACUGAGUUACACUUGAAGAAAGAGAAAAUGCAGAUGGCCUUGGCUGCAUUCUGUUCACUUGAGUGCCUUUUACAUCCUUUUUAGUGUCAGCUGGGGGGCAAGUUGAGGUGUUUGGUUCUAGUUUCUUGGGCUCCAAGAUUUUCUCUGUUUCUAGGUAUCAAUAUGAUUUUUAAUCUCUUUUAUUAAUUAUAAUGAUAAAGCAAAUAUGGUUCAGUCUCAGCAGCGUGUUUUAUCUGCCUUAGAUUUUGGAAAUGGAUUAUAGUUUUAUAUUUUCUGCUUACUGUGAUAUUUUGUUGAAAAAUGCAGAGGGUCCACACUGGGGUUGCCUUUCCAAACUGAAGGUCUCAUCUUAAGUUCUUUUAAAUAAUAUUUAAUACAGGGGAGGACUCAAGAUGGCGCUGUGAGAACAACCCAGGAUUGGAGCUCUCGUUGAAUCCGCAAACAGCUGCUGGUGCCCUCUCAUUAUUGUGAUUCCCACGCUGGACUGCAAAGCAUCUCCAUGUUUCUCUUCCUUACUGGUAUGUAAGUUCCAUGAACAUCAUUUCUGUCAUGUCGCCAUUUUAUCUUCAGUACCUACUACAGAGCCCAAUACACAGGUGCUUGAUAACUAUUUAAAUCAUUAUUUGAAAUCAGAUUUAAAAAGAGGAGCCACAGCUUUUACUCCAAUAGGUCUGAGGCAGAUGCUUCCAUCAGUGACAAAAUAUCUUCAGUUGUACUCCUCAGACACUAAAACAGGACCUAAUACUUCAGUAGGAAAUCCUGUUUAAUAAGAUCCACAUGUUGAUGUUGUGACCAAAAUAUGCAUAAGUGAAACUUGAUGUAUAGUGAGCUCUUGUGCCCUUACUUGUCUUUUCAUGGUCACUCAGCAAUUUCUAGUUUAUGACUUAGUCUCUUCCAUGUUAGCUCAAUCUCUCUGGGGAAAGAAAAGCUGUUCUUUUGCAGGGAGAGAGAGUUCAACUGAAUGGUUCAAGUGCCUUUGCCAUUCGAAGGGGAACAUCUGCUCUGUGGUCAUCUUCUGAUCCUUGGCUCCUGCUAUGGUGCUGUUUGUUGUGCUUGACCACUGGGCAUCCUGUACUGGUACCUGCCUGGUUACUGGCCAUCAGCUGGCACCCCUGAGGGCCUUAUAUUUUGCAUCUCACUUAUCUUAAAUUUGUAUCUUUUCUGGUUCACAAGAUCUCUUGACCUCAAGAAAGCACAGGAAACCCCAGCUGCCUUCUCUGCACCAUCUCAGAAUGUGUAUGUCUCUCAGGCUCCCAUGAGUUCCAUGCACAGGUGCCAUUUUUCUCACAUAAGCACCAUGUUUUUACAUUGCCAAGCUGAAGGCCAGGCUCCCUUGAGGCAGCUUACACUCUUUCCAAGAUAAUCCCUGGAAAGCUAGGCCCAGCUGACUUUCUCUGUCAUUCCACUAAGCCUCCUUGGGGGUUCCGUUAUUUUAUGCUCCCCACAGCCAAGACCCAGAGAAAUGGGGUAUUGGAAACUGUCUUAGUAACCUACGUAGCAUGAACCCUGGUCUUAGAUCUUCCAAACCUUUCUCUUUCUUCUGCACUUUAUGGCUUAAUUUUAUAAACUCUCUGAGUUCAGUCUUCUAAGCUUUUCUUUCCUUUUUUUUUUGCAAUUCAAAAUAUAACUUUUUUACCUUAGUGCCUAGCUCUGAAUCGUCAAUAGUGUUUUGGCUUUUGGAGGAUUAUUUUUCCUCUGGGUAUAAAAACAUUUCAUUUGAAACUCAAAGCCAAGUAAUGACUUCCUUGUUAAAGGAGAUAUCUUCCCCCUCCUUAUCCAGGGAACUGAGCCUCCUGUUCGUGGUUCAGCUUUGCUGGUGGAAAGAAUAACAAGUUCAAAGAAGACAGGUGGGUGAAGGCAGGCAAGGAAGAUGUAGUAGCCCCAAAUAUUAUUCUACUCCAUUUGUAGCAAUAACUUAUAUGGCAUUUGUGUUAUAUAAAACUUCAUGGUGGACAAAGGGCUUUGGUGUAUGUUGUCUUGAAGCAGUAUAGGAUAAUGGUUAUCCUAUCAUGGUUCAGCCGCUCACGAGCAAUGUGUUGUUGGAUGAGCUAAUUUAACUUUCUUCAUCUGUAACAUGCAGAUAAAAGGACAUAACAGUACCAUACUCAUAAGGCUAUACUCAGUGUUAAAUGAAACUUCAUCUAUAUAAAGAACUUAGCAUAAUGCCUGGUACACAUGAUUUAUAAUUGGCAUGACUUUUACUUCAAGAAAUAGAAGCAUAUAAAUAAGCCACACUAUUGUUUUCUAAGCAGUAUUAAUCUCUUUGGAGCCUGCCUUCUGUUAAAUUGUUUAAGCUCCAACCUCAGUCAUGGAUUUCCUUCCCUUUGUCUAGAGUUGAGUAAAGAAUGUAGAUGUCUUUAGUUGCUAAAAUAUUUGACAGUUGAUGUGUGUCAUUCUCUCUGUGGUCAUUCCACAUGAUCUUGUACUGCCUCUAGGCUAGGCAGGGCUUUGGGACUUUGUUGGCCAGUGCUGGGAACCUCAGAAUUUCUAGCCCAGCUUUCCUGUGUGGGAGGCAGGGAGGAGGGAGCAGUUCCAACCUUCCCUAAACCUGCCGAUAUCUUCCAUGUCUUGAUCUCCCCACCCAAAAACACCCCCUCCUGUCUCCUCUGAGCCAACCUAACAUAAUCUUCUGUUGGAGUUCAGGCUUUGGAAACAAAAACCAGUAAGGAAGACUGAUGUUGGCAACUUUCUACUUUCUAUGGAAUGCCUCUUGUGUUUAAGCAAAUGGCUGCUGCAGCAAAAUCAAAACACACCUUAGCAUCUCGAUAAAUUAAUCUUGCUAUGCACUGAAUAAAUGGGAGCAGUUAUGAUUAUGCCAUAAUAAAAUAGAAAAAUAACAUAUUUUGAAUUACUUUUUACUUAUUUUGCCUAAGUUUAAUGAAAGAGUUUUAGGAAUGAAUAUUUUGAUAGCAUUUAAAAUGAACACUAAAUAUCAGAUUUAAUCAGAGUUGUAAUGGUUCUAUGAGGCCAGUAGCUAGGAGGAAAAAGGAAUCAGUCCAACACUGAAUUGUGAAUGGCUUUAGGAAUUCACUCUAGUAAUUGGAAUGAGUUUAUAAAUAUGAAGCUAGAAUGAGCUUAGAACUCAAAGCUAUGUAUGUUUCUGUAUUAUGAUUACAGAUAUGAAUGCAAAUAAGUACAUAAGCAAACAUAAAAAAUAGCAGGAAAACCUAGACAAUAUACAGGGGUAGAAGAGAACUUGAUAAUCAGGACUAGAAACUCAGAACAUAUAGAGGAAAAAUAGAGAUGUAUAUAUUAAAAGUUAAAAACAAUUAUAAUAUGUAAUAUGAACAAAGUAAAAAGCAGGUGAUGGGUUUGGAAAAAGUUUUGGUAAUACAAAUGGCAAAGGAUUUAUAAACAUAACUGUACAUAGGGCAAUUGAAACUUGAAAAGGACAAGUCACUAGAACAAUAAAGUAUAUGUUCAAUAAGCACAUGAAAAGCUGGCAUGAUAUGUCAAUUUACUGGCAUUAGACUGGCAAAAUUAAACAGACACACAGUGUAAAGGACUGUCUUAUGGGACAAACACCUAAAAGAGUACAUUCAUAUCCCCAUGAUAGGAUUUCUUACAAUGUUUAGAGAGGUGGCAAUAUCUAUUAAAAUUAAAAUUAAACAGACAUAUUUGUUGGCCUAGCAACUUCAUUUUAGAAAUGUAUUCCAUAGAAAUAAAAAGUUAACUACAAAUGGAAAUAUAUACAAGGAUGGUUAUUGCCACAUUGUGUGUGAUAGUUAAAUAAAUUCUGACACAUUCAUGGCAUGAAGAGUUAUUCAUCUAUUAAAAGGAAUGAAUUAGAGAUUUAUUAGUCUCUGCUUGGAGGAAUUUCCGUGAAAUACUGUUGACUGUUCAAAGAUUUGAAGAAAUGUGUAUAAUAGGAUCCAGUUUGUAUAAAAUAAUAGCAACUCUCUCGUGGAAAUGUUUGUGUGUAUGUGUGUGUAUGUGACUAGAGAGAUGCAUUCUAGGUUUUAACAUAGGUGAUCUGGGGGGGGUGGUGGUGGUAAGGAUGAGGGCAAAGGAAAGAUGAUGGACAGAAAACAAGUAAAAAAUAUCUGUACUAAAAAACAGGUGUAUAAUCCCCAAAUAAAAAUACACACACACACUCAUACAAAUUAGGGGGAAAAGUUAAAUCUAGCUCUGUAUGUACAGACCUAUGUGAAUGGCCUGUGAUAUUUUGCCAAGUUUCAGUUUAUAGAGUGGUUUUUACAGUAUAAUUUUAAAUUCAUUGAGACAAAGAAUUACCACUGUGUGUAUAUAUAUAUACAUUUCUACAUAUGUGUGUAUACAUAAGGACACACAUACAUGCAAGGGUGUGGAAAAGUAUAUGCUAGACUUAAUGUUGCAUACUUUAGGCAGUGGGAAUGUGUAGCAUGGACAGGAUGAGAUCUCUCUUUUUGUUAUCCAUUGUUUUACUUGUUACACUAAGUUUGUAUUAACUUUGUAAUUUAUAAUAGAACACAUGAAUUUAAGUGAUACUACCUUACGUAGGUAUAACUUCCAGACUCUACAAAGAUGUUGACUCAACCAAUUAAUCCACCAGCUCUGGCGCCUAUGGCCAGUAUUACUUAAGCCAGGCUCUAACUUUGUCCCAAAGUAAAAUUUACCUUCUUUAGGCUGAGCGAUAGCUGCCAUUAACUUUCUCCUCUACUUCUCACCAGCGGCCUGAGAAGUUAUUUAUCCCAUAUUUACAUAUAUAAAAUAGGGAAUCAGAAGGCUUCAUUGACUUGCCAAAGUUCAUAAAGCUAAACCCAGAUCUCAAAUUUCAGGAUUUUUUUCUUUCUAUUAUAUCACAAGUGCUGCCAAGCAGGUGUUUUCCUAUCUUCUUCCGAAAAGCCAACACUCACCCAUGGAUGAGCAUGGGUGGGCAUAAAGCUGCUCAGGCCACACAGUGAGAUUUUCCUCUAUUUGCCAUUUUUUCCGUCUCUGAUGUCCUCUCCUCUCUGUGUGGCUAAAUCCUACCAUUUAUGAAACCAUUUGGGUUCCUCAGCACGGCAUCAAAAAAAGACUUGGCCCGUUUCUUUCAAGCAAAAUAGCCUGAUCCUUAAGCUAGACCAUGGCCAAGGUUUUCUUGGCCUGAGUGUUAAAAACAACAACAACAACAACCCAGAGUGAAUAAAAAGGCCCUACAUGAAUGAGAAGGCUACUACAAUGAAAAGAAAAACAACCAAAAACAAACAGAAAAGAAUCAAAAUAUAAGGUGCACCACUGAACAGAAGUAAUUGAUACAACUAAUGUUUUAACUUUGGCUUUUAAGAAGUGGUAGGACUAUUGCACAUAUAUGUCUGUGCUUUUUUUUCUUAAAUUAUAUUUGUGGUAGACAAUUCUAACAUGACCUCCAAUGAGUGAUGGCCUUGUAUAAUCCCGCCCCCUUGAAUGCAGGCAAAAGUUCAAACUCGGUUCUAGUCAUUGGAAUAUGGAAAAGGUGAUGAGAUAGUCACACCCAUCACUGUUAGGAUAUAUAAAACUUUUUUUUUUUAGCAGACUGGAGAGAGAGAGAGAGAUUCUCUGUUGUUCUAUAGGAAAUAAGCUGCCAUGUAGUGAGAGGUUCACACAGCAAGGAUAUGUGGGUGGCCUCUAGGAGCUGAGACUGUUACCUGGCUG